AACGGAGCGCGUGAGAGCGAACAUUUCGGUGGGAGCAUUCGCGCGGCUUAGUGGCGGACGGGUGAGUAACGCGUGGACAAUCUGCCGCGCACAGGGGAAUAACAGCCGGAAACGGCUGCUAAUGCCGCAUAUGCGCGCAGCGUCGCAUGACGCAGCGCGGAAAGCAAUUUGCGGUGCGCGAUGAGUCCGCGUCCGAUUAGGCAGUUGGCGGGGUGACGGCCCACCAAACCGACGAUCGGUAGCCGGCCUGAGAGGGCGGACGGCCACACUGGGACUGAGACACGGCCCAGACUCCUGCGGGAGGCAGCAGUGGGGAAUAUUGCACAAUGGGGGAAACCCUGAUGCAGCGACGCCGCGUGAAGGAAGAAGUAUCUCGGUAUGUAAACUUCUAUCGGCAGGGAAGAAAACGGACGGUACCUGACUAAGAAGCCCCGGCUAACUACGUGCCAGCAGCCGCGGUAAUACGUAGGGGGCGAGCGUUAUCCGGAUUUACUGGGUGUAAAGGGA
rnacentral:rRNA from 1 species